UACGUAGGGUGCGAGCGUUGUCCGGAAUUAUUGGGCGUAAAGGGCUCGUAGGCGGUUUGUCGCGUCGGGAGUGAAAACCUCGGGCUUAACUCGGGGCUUGCUUUCGAUACGGGCAGACUGGAGGUAUGCAGGGGAGAACGGAAUUCCUGGUGUAGCGGUGAAAUGCGCAGAGUAUCAGGAGGAACACCGGUGGCGAAGGCGGAUCUCUGGGCAUUACCUGACGCUGAGGAGCGAAAGUGUGGGGAGCGAACAGG
rnacentral:rRNA from 1 species